UUAUGCAUGCAGAGCUUACACAAAUGUGACAAGGUUUCCACCUGUGCAGCAUCGCUAAGUGCAGGGAAAAGUUACUGACGAAAAACUACCUUCAAUGCAUAACUUCAAUGCAUAUCAGUGUGUAUAUGGUGAAACCCUGCACCUAAAUAAAUGGUGAAAAGACAUUAGAUGACUCCGACUCCCUGAUCAGAGUACUGAAGUGGUUAACACCAUCAAAGAACCGGCAUUAGUGGGGCAGUCCCCAACAGGACUUUAAUCCACAUCUUCAAAAAGUUUGGAUUUUUUUUUUUUCUGUAAUUCUUAUUUUCCAUGGCUUCCAAGCUAAAAUUUGAGAACCCAUGAAAUAAAGAUUGUGAAGUGAGUUUGCAUCUUACGUGAAGUUGGAGGACUUUGGUUUGAAAACUUGCUUGCCAGGUUCAUUCAGAAGAAUGUUCAGCUGCAGAAAAAAAUCAAACCAUUCAUUAACAUCUGGUGAAGACUAGUAUUUUCAUACUGUUCAUUUUCAAAUUUUUACCGCAUUAUUGACGACAUCCUCCACUUGCGGGUAUGUAUUGUUUCUGCGCUCAGGGUCCUCUGGCAUGCUGAUGUUAACCAAAUUAAAUGUAAAGACCACAGCAUAAGAGGUUUCUGAGAUUUC
ensembl:lncRNA